UUUUUGAGUUAAUUUAAAGUNUAAUCUGCCCACUGAUUUUAAUAUUGAAGGGCUGCAGUAAUUUGACUGUACAAAGGUAGCAUAAUCAUUAGUCUUUUAAUUGAAGACUUGUAUGAAUGAUUUGAUGAAAUAUAAACUGUCUCUAAUUUAUAAAUAAAACUUAAUUUUUUAGUUAAAAAGCUAAAAUAUUUUUAAAAGACGAGAAGACCCUAUAGAGUUUUAUAAUUUUUAAUUUAAAAUAUUUAUAUAAAAUUUUAAUAUUAUAUAUUAAAAAUUAUUUUGUUGGGGUGAUAAAAAAAUAAAUAAAACUUUUUUUUUUAUUUAACAAAAAUAAAUGAAUAAAUGAUCCAUAUUAAUGAUUAAAAGAAAAAAUUACCUUAGGGAUAACAGCGUAAUAUUUUUUUUUAGUACAAAUAAAAAAAAAAGUUUGCGACCUCGAUGUUGGAUUAAGAUAAAAUUUAAAUGCAAAAGUUUAAAAUUUUGAUCUGUUCGAUCAUUAAAAUCUUA
rnacentral:rRNA from 1 species